UACGAAGGGGGCUAGCGUUGCUCGGAAUCACUGGGCGUAAAGCGCACGUAGGCGGACUCUUAAGUCGGUGGUGAAAUCCUGGAGCUCAACUCCAGAACUGCCUUCGAUACUGGGGAGUCUCGAGUUCGGGAGAGGUGAGUGGAACUGCGAGUGUAGAGGUGAAAUUCGUAGAGUAUUCGCAAGAACACCAGUGGCGAAGGCGGCUCACUGGCCCG
rnacentral:rRNA from 1 species